rnacentral:rRNA from 1 species
GAUGAACGCUGGCGGCGUGCCUAAUACAUGCAAGUCGAACGGAAAGGCGCGGAUCUUGUGGGGUUCUCGAUUGGGGAAGGGGGGAGUGACACGCGUGUAUCCUCCACUUGUCUUUCUGAGAAAACCUCGAAAAAGCGGCUAUUACAGCAUAGAAUCUCUUGAACCACGUUGGUGAUUGGAAAGAUUCGGUUUUGCGGGAACGUCUAGCGGGUUACGAGCCGCAUUAGCUAGUUGGUAAGGUAACGGCGUACCAAGGCAACGAGGCGUAACCGACCUGAGAGGGUGAUCGGCCACACUGGAACUGAGACACGGUCCAGACUCCUACGGGAGGCAGCAGUAGGGAAUCUUCCGCAAUGGGCGAAAGCCUGACGGAGCAACGCCGCGUGAGUGAUGAAGGUCUUCGGAUCGUAAAACUCUGUUAUUAGGGAAGAACAAAUGUGUAAGUAACUAUGCACGUCUUGACGGUACCGAAUCAGAAAGCCACGGCUAACUACGUG